rnacentral:rRNA from 1 species
AACUAUUAAUAAUAAAAGGUAAAAUUAGACUGUUAUUAGGUAGAUGUUAAUUGAUUAUAGUUGAAGCUAAGAAAUUUCAGUAAAAAACUAGGAUUAGAUACCCUAUUAUUCUGAAUUGAAACUAAGGAAAACUAAAUUAGUAGUAGUUAGUUGCUUAAAAAUUAAAAAAUUUGGCGGUGAUUUAAUCUUCCCAGAGGAAUUUGUUUCUUGAUCGAUAUACCACGCAGAAUCUUACUUACUUUUGUAUUAAAAAGUAACAGUUUGUAUACCAUCAUUAUCAGGUAAUUUUUAAAGAAUUAAUUACUAGAAUAAGAAAUAAUUAUAAAAAUUAGAUCAUGGUGCAGCUUAUGAGUAAGUUGAAAUGAGUUACAAUAAAUUGUUUUAUGCGGAGCUGUAGAAGAAAUUUUGUUGUUGAAGGUGGAUUUGGUUGUAUUAUAAUUUUAAUAGGUUUAUAGGAUAUAGGUUCUAAAUCAUGUACAUAUCGCCCGUCGCUUUCGU